AGAGUUUGAUCCUGGCUCAGAACGAACGCUGGCGGCAGGCCUAACACAUGCAAGUCGAACGUGAAGCCACCUUCGGGUGGUGGAAAGUGGCAGACGGGUGAGUAACGCGUGGGAACGUGCCCUUCGGUUCGGGAUAACCCAGGGAAACUUGGGCUAACACCGGAUACGCCCUUCGGGGGAAAAAUUUAUUGCCGAAGGAUCGGCCCGCGUCGGAUUAGCUUGUUGGCGGGGUAAAAGCCUACCAAGGCGACGAUCCGUAGCUGAUCUGAGAGGAUGAUCAGCCACACUGGGACUGAGACACGGCCCAGACUCCUACGGGAGGCAGCAGUGGGGAAUAUUGGACAAUGGGCGCAAGCCUGAUCCAGCCAUGCCGCGUGGGUGAAGAAGGCCUUAGGGUUGUAAAUCCCUUUCAGCGGGGAAGAUAAUGACGGUACCCGCAGAAGAAGCCCCGGCUAACUCCGUGCCAGCAGCCGCGGUAAUACGGAGGGGGCUAGCGUUGUUCGGAAUUACUGGGCGUAAAGCGCGCGUAGGCGGACCUGCAAGUCGGGGGUGAAAGCCCGAGGCUCAACCUCGGAACUGCCUUCGAUACUGCGGGUCUUGAGUCCGGGAGAGGUGAGUGGAAUUCCUAGUGUAGAGGUGAAAUUCGUAGAUAUUAGGAAGAACACCAGUGGCGAAGGCGGCUCACUGGCCCGGUACUGA
rnacentral:rRNA from 1 species